UUUUUUUUCCUCUGCACAGGUCUUGAUAAAUCUCCCCCAAUAUGAAUCGGUUCCAGGACGACCAUUGUAGGUUGAGACCAUUGUAUGUUGAGACCAGAACUCUAUGGAAACCUGUCAGGCUGACCUUGUGGAGACAGCAGCUGACGUUAUAUACACAUCGCAUGAUGAAACCGGCUGCAAGAGGAGCGGCUGCAAGGAUGGAGUCACACUGCCAUCUUCUGGUCAGGACGAGAAGUUCAACAGGGUUCGGUCAGAGUUACUCAGGGUUAUUGCGCCCAAAUUUGCGCCACAGUUGAUGAAUUCUCAGUUGAUGAAUUAGUAACCACUGCAGGAAAGGACUUGAAAAGUCGCUUAGGU